UACGGGGGGGGCAAGCGUUGUUCGGAAUUACUGGGCGUAAAGGGCUCGUAGGCGGCCAACUAAGUCAGACGUGAAAUCCCUCGGCUUAACCGGGGAACUGCGUCUGAUACUGGAUGGCUUGAGGUUGGGAGAGGGAUGCGGAAUUCCAGGUGUAGCGGUGAAAUGCGUAGAUAUCUGGAGGAACACCGGUGGCGAAGGCGGCAUCCUGGACCAAUUCUGACGCUGAGUGAGCGAAAGCCAGGGGAGCAAAGCGGG
rnacentral:rRNA from 1 species